rnacentral:rRNA from 1 species
AGCGAACGCUGGCGGCAGGCUUAACACAUGCAAGUCGAGCGGUAGCACAGAGAGCUUGCUCUCGGGUGACGAGCGGCGGACGGGUGAGUAAUGUCUGGGAAACUGCCUGAUGGAGGGGGAUAACUACUGGAAACGGUAGCUAAUACCGCAUAACGUCGCAAGACCAAAGAGGGGGACCUUCGGGCCUCUUGCCAUCAGAUGUGCCCAGAUGGGAUUAGCUAGUAGGUGGGGUAACGGCUCACCUAGGCGACGAUCCCUAGCUGGUCUGAGAGGAUGACAGGCCACACUGGAACUGAGACGCGGUCCAGACUCCUACGGGAGGCAGCAGUGGGGAAUAUUGCACAAUGGGCGCAAGCCUGAUGCAGCAAUGCCGCGUGUAUGAAGAAGGCCUUCGGGUUGUAAAGUACUCUCAGCGGGGAGGAAGGUGUUGUGGUUAAUAACCACAGCAAUUGACGUUACCCGCAGAAGAAGCACCGGCUAACUCCGUGCCAGCCGCCGCGGUAAUAC